GAAAUGCGAUAAGUAAUGUGAAUUGCAGAAUUCCGUGAAUCAUCGAAUCUUUGAACGCACAUUGCGCCCUCUGGCAUUCCGGGGGGCAUGCCUGUCCGAGCGUCAUUACGCACCCUCAAGCUUUGCUUGGUGUUGGGCGUCUUUUUGUCUCUCCCCUUGUUGGGGGAGACUCGCCUUAAAACGAUUGGCAGCCGACCUACUGGUUUUCGGAGCGCAGCACAAAUUUGCGCCUUCCAAUCCACGGGGCGGCAUCCAGCAAGCCUUUGUUUUCUAUAACAAAUCCACAUUUUGACCUCGGAUCAGGUAGGGAUACCCGCUGAACUUAAGC
rnacentral:misc_RNA from 1 species